rnacentral:rRNA from 1 species
UACAGAGGUGCCGAGCGUUAGGCGGAAUCACUGGGCUUAAAGCGUGUGUAGGCGGAUGCCUAAGUACCUUGUGAAAUCCCCCGGCUUAACCGGGGAACUGCUUGGUAUACUGGGUGUCUUGAGCCACUUAGGGGCGACCGGAACAAACGGUGGAGCGGUGAAAUGCGUAGAUAUCGCCUGGAACGCCGACGGUGAAAACAGGUGACUGGGGGUGUGCUGACGCUGAGACACGAAAGCCAGGGGAGCAAACGGG